UUUAAAUUGAGAGUUUGAUCCUGGCUCAGGAUGAACGUUGGCGGCGUGCUUAACACAUGCAAGUCGAGCGAUGAAGUUUCCUUCGGGAAACGGAUUAGCGGCGGACGGGUGAGUAACACGUGGGUAAC
rnacentral:rRNA from 1 species